UGGUGGAGAGUGUGGCAGAGCCAGACCAGACGAGGACUGAUCACCUGGAGAAGCAUGCUGUCAAAGGCCUUGUUCUGAAGGCCAGAAUUCUAAAGUCAGUCCCACUGACUCAAGGUGGGAGCAGGGCAGGCACCUUCCCAGGCUCUGUAGGAGAAUGAGUUUCCUGGCCCCAGAGGCUUCCUGCAGUCCUCAGCUUGUGCUGCCCUUCUUGAACGACUCGAGGUUCCUGCUUCCAACACUACACUUCCCGUUGCUCUCCAUCACCUGCUCUGUUCUGAUAAGGAUCUGGGCUGGCUGCAGUCUUCGUUCCCUGCAACAUUUGUCUCCUGGGUUCAAGUGAUUCUUCUACCUCAACCUCCUGAACAGCUGGUACUACAGUUUUCAGAGAAAUGCAGUGAUGGUAUCACCGAUCUACAUAAACACAUUGAAGAACUAUCCAAAAGAAAAUAUGGUAUGUUGAAGAACUGUCUGAAAG
rnacentral:lncRNA from 13 species